AGAACGAACGCUGGCGGCGCGUUUAAGCAUGCAAGUCGAGCGGCAAGGGCCUUCGGGCCCCUAGAGCGGCGGACGGGUGAGUAACACGUGGACAAUCUGCCCCCCGGCCCGGGAUAGCCCAGGGAAACCUGGAUUAAUACCGGAUGAGACGGGACCCGCGAUGGCGGGACCCGGGAAAGGCGCUGCGGCGCCGCCGGGGGAUGAGUCUGCGUCCCAUUAGCUAGACGGCGGGGUAACGGCCCACCGUGGCGACGAUGGGUAGCCGGCCUGAGAGGGUGGACGGCCACAUUGGAACUGAGACACGGUCCAGACUCCUACGGGAGGCAGCAGCUAAGAAUCUUCCGCAAUGGGCGAAAGCCUGACGGAGCGACGCCGCGUGAACGAAGAAGGCCGUGAGGUUGUAAAGUUCUUUUCGGGAGGGGGAACAACCGUGGCAGGGAAUGGCCGCGGGAUGACGUGAAUCCCGGAAUAAGCCCCGGCUAACUACGUGCCAGCAGCAGC
rnacentral:rRNA from 1 species